rnacentral:rRNA from 1 species
GAUGAACGCUGGCGGCGUGCCUAAUACAUGCAAGUCGAGCGAACAGACGAGGAGCUUGCUCCUCUGACGUUAGCGGCGGACGGGCGAGUAACACGUGGAUAACCUACCUAUAAGACUGGGAUAACUUCGGGAAACCGGAGCUAAUACCGGAUAAUAUAUUGAACCGCAUGGUUCAAUAGUGAAAGACGGUUUUGCUGUCACUUAUAGAUGGAUCCGCGCCGCAUUAGCUAGUUGGUAAGGUAACGGCUUACCAAGGCGACGAUGCGUAGCCGACCUGAGAGGGUGAUCGGCCACACUGGAACUGAGACACGGUCCAGACUCCUACGGGAGGCAGCAGUAGGGAAUCUUCCGCAAAGGGCGAAAGCCUGACGGAGCAACGCCGCGUGAGUGAUGAAGGUCUUCGGAUCGUAAAACUCUGUUAUUAGGGAAGAACAAAUGUGUAAGUAACUAUGCACGUCUUGACGGUACCUAAUCAGAAAGCCACGGCUAACUACGUG